rnacentral:rRNA from 1 species
GCCAGCGCCGUAUCUCCCUGCAGUUCUCGUCUGGUCGCUGAAGCUAAGCAGGGUUGAGCCUGGCCAGUGCCUGCAUGGGAGACUUCCUGGAGAAAUGUAAGGUUGCUGAUGGAA